rnacentral:rRNA from 1 species
AACGAACGCUGGCGGCAUGCCUAACACAUGCAAGUCGAACGAGACCUUCGGGUCUAGUGGCGCACGGGUGCGUAACGCGUGGGAACCUGCCUUUAGGUUCGGAAUAACUCAGAGAAAUUUGAGCUAAUACCGGAUAAUGUCUUCGGACCAAAGAUUUAUCGCCUUUAGAUGGGCCCGCGUAAGAUUAGCUAGUUGGUGGGGUAAAGGCCUACCAAGGCGACGAUCUUUAGCUGGUCUGAGAGGAUGAUCAGCCACACUGGGACUGAGACACGGCCCAGACUCCUACGGGAGGCAGCAGUGGGGAAUAUUGGACAAUGGGCGAAAGCCUGAUCCAGCAAUGCCGCGUGAGUGAUGAAGGCCUUAGGGUUGUAAAGCUCUUUUACCCGACGAUGAUAAUGACAGUAUCGGGAGAAUAAGACUCCGGCUAACUCCGUGCCA